UGGUUAACAAGCUUUAUCCUAAUGGUGA
rnacentral:piRNA from 1 species